AUUCGGUUGAUGAGUCUCAAAUAGGACGAAACGCAUGUCCUGGAU
rfam:Schistosoma mattheei strain Denwood, Zambia genome assembly, scaffold: SMTD_scaffold0013321